GCAAGUCGUGGGGUAACAGAGAAAGCUUGCUUCUUGCUGACGACCGGCGCACGGGUGCGUAACGCGUAUACAAUCUGCCUUUUACUGGAGAAUAGCCCGAAGAAAUUCGGAUUAAUGCUCCAUAGUACAACGAGUUCGCAUGUUUUUGGUGUUAAAGCUUCGGCGGUAGAAGAUGAGUAUGCGUCCGAUUAGCUAGUUGGAGAGGUAACGGCUCACCAAGGCAACGAUGGGUAGGGGGCCUGAGAGGGUAAUC
rnacentral:rRNA from 1 species